rnacentral:lncRNA from 13 species
AUUUCUCUUGUUGAAAAACAAGAUCAGAAGACCAUAAUUGUUUGUGGUUUUUGUUUUCCCUAAGUAAGACGUGGUAAGUGUAUGUUAAUGUGUUUGGGGAAAGGGAGAUUUGGCUGGAGGGCGCAGGAGGCUGGAGGUGUAUGCUAAUUGCACGUUCUGUGUUAAACCCUCCAGGUCCCUAAAGCUCCCUCCGCCCUGGCAGAACAUCACAGAGGUCUCACAGGCUGCUUUGAGGCUUUUGCACAGGCUGGAAGACAACUCUUUGGAGUUCAGGGAGAAGCACCGAGGAUUCCAUGAAGCCACAGCCAUUUCCCUGCUGCUCCUCAGGCCAGCCACAUGGUGCUCAACCAUUGCUGAAUAGAUAAACGAAUGAAUGACCGAGACACAUUCUGAUAACACUAGAGGUAGAGAGGAAAACCU